ACCACCGCGCUCCUCCCCCAGUCCGAGUUCCCGAGUUCCCGAGUCCCAAUCUCCUCGCGGCCGCCCGGAGUCCGGGGGCGGGUUGCCUGCUUCCCGAGCGCUCUAGACUCCGCGGAAAGAGGGAGGAUAUCCUGGAGGUUUUCACUGAAGAGUUGGCGAUGGUGAUUAAGAAGCCUGAAGCAAGAGUGUCUACAACAUGAGUGUCGAAAACAAGGAAACAGAACUUUCUAACUCUGGAAGAUUGCCACGAAGUACUGCUCGUGUUGUCACACCAUAGCCACAGCUGAACAGCACACUGAAAGCCGCUCCAAAGCAGGUGCCCAGAGCUGAAGACAGCAGGAGGGUGUGCUGAGGAAGACGGGGUUCUGCUGAGGGCAGGGGGAAGCAAGGAACCAUUCGAGUCAAAAGGCCCAGGAGUUUCUGGAAACUCACAAGCAAUCUGACAACACAGUUCCCAAGAGGUCUGACCAGGAGGGUCAGAAAGACUCAGUUGUUCUCAGAAGCAAAUCCCCAACCCUGGGAAUCCAGAAGCUGCAGGCUCUUUCCAGAAGUGAGCAGCUCCUGCCAGUGUCCUUCCAGACUAAGCCUGCCUAAAGGCAUUGCAGAGUCUGGAGAUAAGUGGAUAUAUAAAUACAGUCAGCUGGAUCAGUGCCUGCCUCAUGGAACUUCACCCAACUUCAGGUCCUAAAUUUGCUCCAGUUGUGAGCCAGUCCGAACCAAGCCUGGUAGCAUAUUGGAAACCCCGUUCCCAUCAGCAUGUAGGGUCUGGAAUGAGUCUUGUUAUUCUAACUCUGGUAUCCCAGGCACCCUUACUUACUUGACUUCCAUCUUCUCUGCCCCCUAUCUUCUUUGUGCAUGCCUAACGUGCAUUAUGGGACUUCUUUCCCAGUUUAUUUGGUAACCCAGUUUUCUCCUAGAUAUAUAUCUGUCCUAAAUUCAAGCCCUUUUGACUGGGAUCUUGACAGUCACCCUAGUCUUUGUCAGUAGCUAACCUCGACAACUCCCCAACACCGUCACUACCCCUACACUCUACCUGACUGCUGGGGUCUUGCUUCCAACCGGACAGAAAUCUCACAACCACUGUUCUUUCACCAUUUGACUUAAAUUAUCACUGCCUCAUGGAGAUCCUUACCACAAGGCCUCACCCCAAAUAUCUGAUAUUUUUAGCAUAGGCUCUAAUUGAAGAGGAUGAAAGUUCCUAUCAGUUCCCUGGACAUCAUGAUUUGGAACGCUGACAACUCCCAACCAUCAGUCUUAACCCUGCUUAGGCCCAAAUAGCUCCCCUUUCUCAGCAAUCUGCCCAGAAUGAGGCCCCAAAAUAUUUUUUAAAAAAUGUUAGUAACUGGGGCACCUGGGUGGCUCAGCCGUUAAGUGUCUGCCUUCGGCUCAGGUCAUGAUCCCAGGGUCCUGGGAUCAAGCCCCGCAUCGGGCUCC